rnacentral:rRNA from 1 species
AUGGAGCAGCUCAAGAUGGGCUCUCUCCAUGCUUCGGAGGUGGCUCUGGUGUCCUCCCCACCCCCCGUGGAGCCUUGUCAGGCACCAACCAGCCUGCCUCUUGGCGUCGUGAAGCGUGGAGUUUUAGAUGUUGCUGCCCUUCCUUCGCUUGUGGGUGACGUGACCAUUGAGCCAGAUGCGCUGGCGCCUACUCCUGUUCCAGAGAUUUCCUUUGCGAAGAAGCUUUGUGACUUACUUGCCAGUGUGGAGGUUGCUACACCUGGUUUGGGCAGGUCGAUUGCUUUCCUCUUGACGGGGACGACAAUAAGGAGCAAAUGCGUGAAGGUGGGCAAAGGCAAGAAGAAUGGCGCCGUAGAGAAGACGAGGAACGAUACAGAGGCGACAACUAAGGUCGCGGAAGGAUCACGUGCCCCAAAGCAGAACUCAUGCCGGUAG